rnacentral:rRNA from 1 species
UACAUGGGGUGCAAACGUUGCUCGGAAUUAUUGGGCGUAAAGCGCGCGUAGGCGGUUAUCUAAGUCGGAUGUGAAAGCCCUCGGCUUAACUGAGGAAGUGCACCCGAAACUGGAUAGCUAGAGUACGAAAGAGGGUCGCGGAAUUCCCGGUGUAGAGGUGAAAUUCGUAGAUAUCGGGAGGAACACCGGUGGCGAAGGCGGCGACCUGGGUCGAGACUGACGCUGAGGCGCGAAAGCGUGGGGAGCAAACAGG